rnacentral:rRNA from 1 species
UACGAAGGGGGCUAGCGUUGCUCGGAAUCACUGGGCGUAAAGGGUGCGUAGGCGGGUCUUUAAGUCAGGGGUGAAAUCCUGGAGCUCAACUCCAGAACUGCCUUUGAUACUGAAGAUCUUGAGUUCGGGAGAGGUGAGUGGAACUGCGAGUGUAGAGGUGAAAUUCGUAGAUAUUCGGAGGAACACCAGUGGCGAAGGCGGCCGACUGGUCCGGUUCUGACGCUGAGGCGCGAAAGCGUGGGGAGCAAACAGG